rnacentral:rRNA from 1 species
UACGUAGGGUGCGAGCGUUAAUCGGAAUUACUGGGCGUAAAGCGUGCGCAGGCGGUGGCUCAAGCCAGGCGUGAAAUCCCCGGGCUUAACCUGGGAAUGGCAUUUGGGACUGCAAGGCUCGAGUGCGGCAGAGGAGACUGGAACUCCUGGUGUAGCAGUGAAAUGCGUAGAUAUCAGGAGGAAUACCGAUGGCGAAGGCAGGUCUCUGGGCUGACACUGACGCUCAUGCACGAAAGCGUGGGGAGCAAACAGG